GUUAAAUUAGGAUGUAGGCCGGUCCUGGUUGAACUGAAUCGUAUGGGUCGGUCUUUACGCCAAUAUUUUAGGCUCAGAUUGAAACAAUUUGGGUACAUGGUGUUUGUCUUGACAUAAAGCAACAUGGAAUGGUGGAAAUCAAACUGAAGUGAAUGGAAUUCUCUUAGGAAAUUUGCUAAAACAUCAAAAUCUUCUUCAUGAGACAUGGAGAUUGAGAUACACGAGCUUCUACAUCUGUAUAUUUUAUCCUCAUUUGUAUUCUUCUUUGUUACUGUCUAUGUGAACAAGUCCACUCUUUUACCAGAUAAUAUACAUUCAAGUCCACUAUUUUAUCCUCA